rnacentral:rRNA from 1 species
CGAACUAGACCUCAAUUUGAGCAAGAUUACCCGCUGAACUUAAGCAUAUCUUGUAACACGGACGACCAA